ACGGGAGGCAGCAGUGGGGAAUAUUGGACAAUGGGGGAAACCCUGAUCCAGCGACGCCGCGUGAGUGAAGAGGUAUUUCGGUAUGUAAAGCUCUAUCAGCAAGGAAGAAAAUGACGGUACCUGACUAAGAAGCCCCGGCUAAAUACGUGCCAGCAGCCGCGGUAAUACGUAUGGAGCAAGCGUUAUCCGGAUUUACUGGGUGUAAAGGGAGCGUAGACGGCUUUGCAAGUCUGAAGUGAAAGCCCGGGGCUCAACCCCGGAACUGCUUUGGAAACUGUAGAGCUAGAGUACAGGAGAGGUAAGCGGAAUUCCUAGUGUAGCGGUGAAAUGCGUAGAUAUUAGGAGGAACAUCAGUGGCGAAGGCGGCUUACUGGGCUUUAACUGACGCUGAGGCUCGAAAGCGUGGGGAGCAAACAGGAUUAGAUACCCUGGUA
rnacentral:rRNA from 1 species